UGUGUCUGAAUUGUUAUGUUGAGAUGAGGAGUGGGGAAGCAAUGGAAUAUUUAUCUGUCCAUGUGAGGAACAGGCAGAUUUGGGAAACAUUUUUGGGGCUUGAGACAGACAGGAGGAAGUGUAAAGCAAGAAUUUAGGAGUCUGAAGCAUAGCGUACACUAAGAAAUUAUGGGGAAGAAUUGGUGCUUGGCACAGAAAUGGUUUCUUACUGAUGCAGAGGAUUAACACAAUAUUUGCUGCAGCUAGAAGCCUGAUGAAGCCUGUUUGACUGAGAGCAGGGCUGGAAGGGACUGUGAAAAGACACAGCAGGUAGAGGGAGAAGCAGGAAGAAAAGUCCUGAAGACAUCACUAGUCUCAGAGCUAUUCAGAGGAUGCAUCCUCUGAGCAACCCUCUGAGUAUGGAAUGUGCUACGCCUCAGGAGCAGCUAUGUUUUCCCAUCUUUGUAUAGAUCUUGCUGAUGUGACUGCGUGGCUCAUUAGCCUUGGUUAACAGCCAAACUUUCACCUGGUGGCUCACACGUUCUGCCACCACCACCCCACCAGGAUGGGAAGAAAAACUCACCGGAAUGAGAAGAUCACAGAUCAAGAUAA